rnacentral:lncRNA from 1 species
CUGUAGUAGUGUGACUAGUUCUUAAAUCUACGGUGCCUCGGUUAUUCACAAUGAGGUUGCUGUAGUUUGACUGCAUCAUAACUCGAUCUCCUAACCAUACGGAGCCUUGAGGUAUAUGUUGACUACAGUAGGUUCAUUAUAGAAAUAAGAUGUACACCUAGAUAGGAUCUAUCAAUCUUAGUAGUAAAGGAGUAGUUUUAUGUGAUUUAUGAGAUUGAGUUCGGA